rnacentral:misc_RNA from 1 species
CUACCCCGGCUCCUUGGGAUAGAUGGGGAAGCUGAGGCCCAGAAGGGGGCUGAGACCACCUCCCAGUUUCCCCAGUGAGGUGGCGCCUGAGCCACGGCCAGGCCCGGCCUCCUUCCACCCGGCCCUGCUGUGCGCGCGGCGGGUGCUGACCUGGCGAGGCCGGACAGGGGACCAGGUCGGGGUGACCGUCACUGACACCUGGACAGUCCUCGUUGUGUUCGGGGUGGGAAGCCCACGGUGAGUCUGGGGACCCAAGAUCUUAUUUUCCUUUCUGUCACCCCCGCUUGGUUUUGGAUUCCGUGACAGCUGGACCCGGCUUCUGCGUG